CGUCCGUCCUAAAAAAACAUUUUCGUGUCAACGUUUGAACUGUCCGUCUUAUAUAAAAUUUUUUUUAUAAUUAAUAUUUUUAUUGUUGUUAGAUGAUAAAAUAUGAUUAAUAUUUUAUGUAUAAUUUAUCUUUUUAAUUUUUUUCAUAUUUUUUUCAAAUAAGACGAACGGUUAAACGUUGGAUACGGAAAACAGGGUUUGUAUUUUUU
rfam:Oryza nivara chromosome 5, whole genome shotgun sequence.